rnacentral:lncRNA from 1 species
GUCUCUUCUGCAUGGUGACAGUGUGGCACAAGCCCAUAUGAAGGCAGAUACAAUGGGAGAGCAAUAUUUGAACACAUACUGCUGCCUUGUGAGUGAGGAAAAGCUGAAAAAGGAUAACUGACCCAUUCAUCCCUUUGAAGAUGGUAUUUACUUUUACUGCUACUCUUCUUGGAGCUGAAGUCUUCACAUAAAAGACCUGCUUUAACCCCAAGGCCACCAUCUGAAGCCUGCUUGUACCUCAUCAUUUCCCAGUGUUAUAAAACAAGGAUCAUUUUUUUUCCAGCAUGCAUCGUCUUAUUCUCAUCACAUCCAAGGCAAACUGGACUCCUUUACAAAGAAUGUGUCCAGGAGAACAAGGAGAGUUGCUAUUCCUGUGUAACACGGGGCCACAAACUGCAGCCUAGGACAGCUGGUUGGACAUUAGGAAGAACUUUUUCACCUAGACAGUGCUCCCCAGAAAAGGCUAAAAUCCCCAGUUACCAGAAGACUACAAGACUUGGUUUGGUGCAGGAACAACCAACCUGGCCUAGAUGCAGUGACUGUCCUACAGAUUGUACCAGUGGCUGCUGUGACUGUGAGACUGAAUGACUUUCUGGUAUCUGCACUGUGUAUGAUACCUUCUGGCCUGUUUCUUGAAUUAAUGGGGCACCAUAGCUUAAUCACAUGUUCAUGUGUAUUCAGCUUCAUGUACCACCGUAGAGGUACAUACCAGCUUUAAAGGCUUUAAAGAGAAAUAUCUGAGCUUCAGAGGAUGACAGGAACAGCAGAGAAGAAUCUCACUAAAUACCAUACUACUUUGUGGAGCUCAUACAGUUAAAACAUAUUGUUUAAAUUGACAGGGAUUCAUUCUUAAAAAUAUUCAAGAAAACGCAUGGCUUUGCAUCUUCAAAAAGGAGGUAACUCUUAAUGGAAAGUGCACCUUCAGCACCUAAGCCUGGAUUUUAUCACCUUAACUCACACAACACGAUUUAGGCAAUCCACCUCAAGGACCAUGGCAUCCUGAUGCUCUCCACUGGCUGAUUCAGUAUGUUACAAGCAUGGGAGGAAAUGAAGUC